rnacentral:rRNA from 1 species
UACGUAGGGGGCAAGCGUUGUCCGGAGUUACUGGGCGUAAAGCGCACGCAGGCGGUCUCUUAAGUUUGGAGUGACAGUUGGUGGCUUAACUGCCAAAGUGCUUCGAAAACUGAGAGACUUGAGGGCUUCAGAGGGACACGGAAUUCCGGGUGGAGUGGUGAAAUGCGUAGAGAUCCGGAGGAACACCAAAGGCGAGGGCAGUGUCCUGGGGAGUACCUGACGCUCAGGUGCGAAAGCCAGGGGAGCGAACGGG